rnacentral:rRNA from 1 species
UACGGAGGGAGCUAGCGUUGUUCGGAAUUACUGGGCGUAAAGCGCACGUAGGUGGCGACGUAAGUCGGGUGUGAAAGCCCCGGGCUCAACCUGGGAAUUGCAUUCGAGACUGCAUUGCUGGAGUACGGAAGAGGAAGGCGGAAUUCCCGGUGUAGCGGUGAAAUGCGUAGAUAUCAGGAGGAACACCGGUGGCGAAGGCGGGUCUCUGGGCCGAUACUGACGCUGAGGAGCGAAAGCGUGGGGAGCGAACAGG